GGCUGGGUAGGAAGCACGCUAGCAGGGGCCUCUGGCCUUGCUGAGGGUCCCUGUUUCCCCUUUUCCUUCCUUUUCACCCAACAAAACCCUGCUUUACUCACCCUUCAAACCAUCUAUGAGCCUAAAUUGUCGUGGUCGUGGAAUGGACAAGGACCCAGUCUUUAGCUGAACUAAGGGAAAGUCCUGCUUUUUGGCGCGCAACAGGGGAGCUCAAGAAACAGGCCUCACUCACGGCAUAUGGAACUAACCACGCCCCUAACUAAGAAGGCACACCUUAGUUGCAGUUAGCACACAAUUAAAGCAACUCUCCAAGUUUUACCUUAAAGUUCAAAAUUGCUAGGAGUUGAAACUACUAGAAAUAUAUUUACAUGCAAGAGUCAAAGAAACUUUGAACUAUUUAUGGCCUUUAAUAAUUAAGUAAGGUAUACUCCUGUGAUCAAGACUUGGAGCAUAUUUGUUUCUCUCUGCCUGGUUCCUCUAGAAAUUGGAAACUAUCAGAACAGAGACCAACUCCGUUUCCCGAUCCCUUUGCAAUCUGCAUUGAACCAUGAGUCAAGUUCUUGAUAAAGGAGUGAAAAUGGUAAGUCUAAAGCAAUGAAAAGCUGCUGUAUUGACUACACAUGCCUUCAUUUCUUCUACCCUGCUUCUUUCAUGCCUGCUUAUCUGAAUGACACCAGGAUGACAUUUAAGGCACAUCUGAAGAUGGGGAAACCACAGCACAGAAUAAGGCUGGGCCCUUGAAUCAAUAAAUGAAGGAGAACUACUCAAGAGAACAAAACCACCAGCAAUAUCCACCUGUAUUUGUCUUUUCAUAAUGUGUGACACAUGUGCUCAUGGAUUAUUGUCCGAAGCAAGACAUGUGACCAAGCCUAACAUCAACUGGGUGAAGAGCUAUAUGUUCCUUUCUCAAGAGGCACUACAAGUGACAUGCCACUGGGCAGUUUAGCAAAAGCUGGAGGUGCCUUGACAUUUGCAGUACACUGAAACAGUGGCUGGCUUGAAAAAUCCCAAAACGAUUUUCUGCAGGAGAGCCCUUUUGACUAAUAUGAGGUAUUAAUCCCUAAUAAAUACUUUGCACCCAAAACUUCAUCUUAGUGUAUGGUGCUGGAGCUUUCCGAACUGUGACAUCAACUAAUUUCUUCUAAAGUGUUAUUAGCAAAUAGCAGCUUAAUGUGCCACACCUCUGAGUACACUGUAGUUUAAGAAGAGACCCCUGAAAACACAAUGCCUUUAUCCAAAAAUAGUCAUUCUAAAAUGCUAGGAUUCUUGUAACUUGGUAGGCUAGAAAUUUACAUAAUGCUUAGAGAGCAAAAAAAAAACCUUCCUAAAGUAAUUUUAAUGUAUCUCAUUAAAAGGCUACUUAUUGUUCAUUAACCAUUUACCAACACAGCUAGAAAAAAAAAGCCACAGUUAAUUCUACUAAAAAUGGAUAAUUUCACUUUUGAUAGUAUACAUAAUUAUUUUAAAACUAAAAAUGUUUCAGGCACUGUAUUAAAUUCUGUAAAUUUAUUUUCACCAAUUUAUUCUUGGAGCAAUCCCUUAUGUAACUUUAUAGAUAAGAAAACCAAGGCUCAAAAAAGGUAGAUAGAUAGAUGAUAGAUAGAUAGAGAGAUGGAUAGAUAGACAGAUAGAUAAAAUGAAGAUGCAAAGCAAAAGCACAAGUCAAAAUAUCAAAAGCCUAUGACCCUAACUUUCUGAGUAAAAAGCAAAGGUGAAAUUUGGGAAGGGGAAAUAGUAUAGGUUCUAUCAUUAGUGUUCAUCCUAUCACUGGCAGAUCCAGAAUUUUGGAGCAGAGACUCAGCAGAAAAAAAGAAGAGGAAAGGUUAGAGGCCUGAGAUUAUUUCAGGACUGAUUCUUUUUGGGGGGAAUUGCCUUAACCAAUGUCAAAUGCUGCAGGAAAAUUUUGUAUGAAGUUUGACAUAAAACGCUAUAAAUAAAAUAUUUUAACUUGA
rnacentral:lncRNA from 1 species